UAAUAUUAAUGAUAAUAAUAAGAAGAAUACUUCACACUUAAGAUGCACUCAAUAUGUGCUAGGCCCUGUUCUUUACUUGUUUUAACUCACUUAAUCCUCACAACCACCUCAUGAUGUGAAAGCCCAUGUUACAGAUGAAACAGAGGCACAGAAAUAUUAAGUUGCCUACAGUCUCACUGAGGCUCCAGAUGCCAUGCUCUUAACCUUGUGCUCUAGCAUGUCUACAAAAUGCAGGCUCAUUUACCCAACAGAUAUUUACAGAGCUCCUACUGCAGGCCAGGCAAGCACUACAGCAUUUCAUAUUAAUGGAACCAUAUCAUAUGUGGCCUUUUGUGUCUGGCUUCUCUCACUUAACAUAAUAUUUCAAGAUUUAUCCAUGUUGUAGCAUGAAUCAGUACUGCAUUCCUUUUACUUGUUUUUUUGGAUUACAGGCAUGAGCCACUGUGCCCAGCCCUACAUUCCUUUUUAUGGCUGAAUAUUUCUCUAUUCAGUUGAUGGACAUUUGGGUUGUUUCUACCUUGUGGCUACUGUGAAUAAUGCUGCUAUGGACAUUCACUUCCAAGUCUUUGUUUGGAUACCCAUUUUCUUUCUUUUUUUUUUUUUUUUUUUUUUUUUGAGACGGAGUCUCACUCUGUCACCCAGGCUGGAGUGCAGUGGCGCGAUCUCGGCUCACUGCAAGCUCUGCCUCCCGGGUUCAUGCCAUUCUCCUGCCUCAGCCUCCCGAGUAGCUGGGACCACAGGCGCCCGCCAUCACGCCCGGCUAAUUUUUUGUAUUUUGUUUAGUAGAGACGGGGUUUCACCAUGUUAGCCAAGAUGGUCUCGAUCUCCUGACCUCGUGAUCUGCCUGCCUCGGCCUCCCAAAGUGCUGGGAUUACAGGCAUGAGCCACCGCGCCCGGCCUUUGGAUACCCAUUUUCAAUUCUCUUGGGUAUAUACCCAGGAGUAGAAUUACUGGAUCUUAUGGGAAUUUUAUGUUUAACUUAUUGAGGAAUCGCCAAACUUUUUCACAGCGCCAUUAAUAUUUAAAUUGUCGAACCAGGUGAGGUGGCACAUACUGUAAUCCCAGAACUUUGAGAGGCCAAGGCAGAAGGAUCACUUGUGGCCAGGAGUUCAAGACCAGCCUGGGCAACAUAGUGAGAUC
rnacentral:lncRNA from 10 species